rnacentral:rRNA from 1 species
GAUGAACGCUAGCUACAGGCUUAACACAUGCAAGUCGAGGGGAAACGACAUCGAAAGCUUGCUUUUGAUGGGCGUCGACCGGCGCACGGGUGAGUAACGCGUAUCCAACCUGCCCAUCACUUGGGAAUAACCUUGCGAAAGUAAGACUAAUACCCAAUGACAUCCCACGAAGACAUCUGAAUGGGAUUAAAGAUUUAUCGGUGAUGGAUGGGGAUGCGUCUGAUUAGCUUGUUGGCGGGGUAACGGCCCACCAAGGCAACGAUCAGUAGGGGUUCUGAGAGGAAGGUCCCCCACAUUGGAACUGAGACACGGUCCAAACUCCUACGGGAGGCAGCAGUGAGGAAUAUUGGUCAAUGGGCGAGAGCCUGAACCAGCCAAGUAGCGUGCAGGAUGACGGCCCUAUGGGUUGUAAACUGCUUUUAUAAGGGAAUAAAGUGGGUCUCGUGAGACUUUUUGCAUGUACCUUAUGAAUAAGGACCGGCUAAUUCCGU